GAUAGUCCACAGCUCCCUUCU
rnacentral:miRNA from 1 species